UCACGGAUAGCUCAGUUUGGUUAGAGCAUCAGACUCAUAAUCUGAUUGUCGAAGGUUCGAUUCCUUCUCCAUUGGCCU
rnacentral:tRNA from 1 species